GAGCCAGGCAGAUUGUCGAUGAGGAUUGUCGUCGUUCCCUUCUUGAAUCCUCUGAGAAAGUAUUUCGAGCACCUCUCGAUGAUCGACUCGCAGAAGUUGAGAUUGUCUUCGGAUUUGGAGAGAGCCAUGCCAUUGGCGAAGUACAAGUCUCUUAACAAAACCUUGGUAGACUUCGUGUUGGGAUCGACUACCCUCAUUCGCCCAUAAGCCGUCCCCUCAAUGUUUUGCCAGUAAAUGUUGAGGUUAUACUUGGACGUAGAAUCUGUGAAGUAAAUUAGCCCAUCUUUGGCGACAAUCACUUCGUUGAUCAUGCCGAAUUCAACCCCUUCUGCUUCAGUGGCCAGAAUCUCCAUGACACCCGUAUUUUUGCUAAUCUGCAGAUUUCAAACACGCACAGAACGUCAAGAAGCAAAUCGAGUAUUCAUCAAAGAAUCUGUGAACUUGGUAUCAAAACCACACGUCGGAGUGGUCAUUAUGCUCACCUCCAACAAUUGGCCUUGAAUCGGCUCACAGACAAGGACAUCACGGGCAUUAUCUAGAGCAAGUCUCAGCGGCCUCCCCCUGACAAACACCCAAUUCCUCACUUGAGCCGUGGAAAGGAUAUUGAGGAAGGUAGAGAGGCACGGAAUUCCACACAGGAGAUUUGUUGACGACCACUCAUUACUCUUGCAUUCUCGCCCACUCUUGUGCCCCCAAUAGCUCUUCAAACAAUGUGAAGAUCAUUUUGACCAAGGCAUAUACUAUGGACUUGGAAGACAUCUGAGCUAAAAUAAACCAAUAUUAAUUGGAAGUUUAUUUUAAUUCAUAAGUGAAUUACUAUGUAAGUUAAGAAGUUGUAGCUAUUAUUCUUAAAUCCUAAUCAAACCACUCCUUAUUCUUCUUAAAACACCCAAUUAAAA